rnacentral:rRNA from 1 species
CCUACGGGGGGCUGCAGUAGGGAAUAUUGCACAAUGGAGGAAACUCUGAUGCAGCGACGCCGCGUGAGUGACGAAGGCCUUCGGGUUGUAAAGCUCUGUUCUCAGGGAAAAAGCAAGUGAUUGUACCUGAGGAGAAAGGCCCGGCUAACUUCGUGCCAGCAGCCGCGGUAAGACGAGGGGUCCAAGCGUUGUUCGGAAUCAUUGGGCGUAAAGCGGGUGUAGGUGGCUCUAUAAGUCAGGAGUGAAAUCCCCGAGCUUAACUUGGGAAGUGCUUUUGAUACUGCAGAGCUUGAAUGUGGGAGAGGAUCGUAGAAUUCCAGGUGUAGUGGUGAAAUACGUAGAUAUCUGGAGGAAUACCGGUGGCGAAGGCGGCGAUCUGGCCCAACAUUGACACUGAGACCCGAAAGCGUGGGGAUCAAACAGGAUUAGAUACCCUAGUAGUC